GAUGAACGCUGGCGGCGUGCCUAAUACAUGCAAGUCGAGCGAACGGACGAGAAGCUUGCUUCUCUGAUGUUAGCGGCGGACGGGUGAGUAACACGUGGAUAACCUACCUAUAAGACUGGGAUAACUUCGGGAAACCGGAGCUAAUACCGGAUAAUAUUUUGAACCGCAUGGUUCAAAAGUGAAAGACGGUCUUGCUGUCACUUAUAGGUGGAUCCGCGCUGCAUUAGCUAGUUGGUAAGGUAACGGCUUACCAAGGCAACGAUGCAUAGCCGACCUGAGAGGGUGAUCGGCCACACUGGAACUGAGACACGGUCCAGACUCCUACGGGAGGCAGCAGUAGGGAAUCUUCCGCAAUGGGCGAAAGCCUGACGGAGCAACGCCGCGUGAGUGAUGAAGGUCUUCGGAUCGUAAAACUCUGUUAUUAGGGAAGAACAUAUGUGUAAGUAACUGUGCACAUCUUGACGGUACCUAAUCAGAAAACCACGGCUAACUACGUG
rnacentral:rRNA from 1 species